GCCGAGGUAGCUCAGUUGGUAGAGCACGUCACUGAAAAUGACGGUGUCCCCAGUUCAAGUCUGGGCCUCGGCA
rnacentral:tRNA from 1 species